rnacentral:rRNA from 1 species
CCUACGGGGGGCAGCAGUGGGGGAUAUUGCACAAUGGGGGGAACCCUGAUGCAGCAACGCCGCGUGGGUGAAGAAGCGCCUCGGCGCGUAAAGCCCUGUCAGCAGGGAAGAAAAUGACGGUACCUGAAGAAGAAGCCCCGGCUAACUACGUGCCAGCAGCCGCGGUAAUCCGGAGGGGGCAAGCGUUAUCCGGAGUUACUGGGUGGAAAGGGGGCGCAGACGGCGAUGCAAGCCAGGAGUGAAAGCCCGGGGCCCAACCCCGGGACUGCUCUUGGAACUGCGUGGCUGGAGUGCAGGAGGGGCAGGCGGAAUUCCUGGUGUAGCGGUGAAAUGCGUAGAUAUCAGGAGGAACACCGGUGGCGAAGGCGGCCUGCUGGACUGCAACUGACGUUGAGGCCCGAAAGCGUGGGGAGCAAACAGGAUUAGAUACCCCAGUAGUC